rnacentral:lncRNA from 1 species
AUGAACUUCUUGGAGAAACCUUCGAGGAUCCAGUUUUGGGGGUUAUAGAUUUUUUCUUAGUAGAACCAAAACAACUUGGAAUAAAAAACAUCUUGAUCAAGAAAAUUUCACUAUCCAUGCUUGAGGACCUUGAAAAUUUAUUAUUACUGUAAGUACUACCUAAUGACUCCAUUCUUUGCAUCUUCGUUUUCUUCUUCUUCUUAUUAUUCUGCUGCUUCUUGAUCAUUUGAGCUUCGGUUUGGAAACGAAAGCUUCUCUCACGAUCAGCAACCAAAUUAUCAUUCUCCUUAUAGUCCUCUUCUUCACGAUGAUGAAUUCUUUGCUGCAGCUGAUGCUCAUCAACCAUAUCUUUCAAUGAGAGUUCAUAGCUGCUUUCUGGCAUAUCCUGAACCAUCUCCAUGAGCUCUUUUCUUGCCUCUACAAUUCGCUGCAAUCGCGACCGCGGCGAAAGAUUACUGUACUGAUGAUCACGA